AAGCCAAUUUGAUUUUAGGAAGAGCCAACAUGACAGAGUCAAGAGCCAUACCAUAACCAGCUUGGUAUCCUGUGCCAGAAGCACCGUAAUCAUGAACAAGGGGGACUGAGGUGCCGGGAACAACAUCAAGCUCUACGCGGGCACCACCCUUUCGAGAAGGACGGAAUCCGACACAUUCUUGAAUAAUUUCAGCACCCUCCGGACCCUUGCCGUGGAACAAUUCUGGCAUCAAAGCCGAUGUUCUCUUAAGGAUAUCCAAAGUGUCUUCAGGGUGAAUUUCACGAUCCCAGUUUCCUGGUUGCAUGAAACCGCCGCAAAUGACUCCACCAUUUAAGGGACGAGGAAUAAUAUAGGUAUCAGAGUUCUUGCCAUUCAAAAUGCGAGUUUCUGUUACAUGAGGAGCCUUAACCAAAACAACAUGUCCACGAGUCGGAUAAACGUCCGGGUCUUCAACGCCACCCAAUUUGGAAGCCCAGAGACCAGUGCAAUUAAAUACUACUGAAGCUUCUGGAGUUUCUUCGACAGUCUCUUUGAUGUGACUCAAUUCUUUCUUUUCAAAUUCGACGCCAGCUUCAAUGAGCAGCUUGUACAUAUAAUUCAAGUAAUGAGGAGCGUUGAUUAAAAAGGUGGUGGCCUUAUGUCCGUAGAUACAUUCUCCUGGAAGAUCUUUUUCAGGGAUAACUUUGAAAUCUCUGACAUAGGUAUUCCAGGAUCUGAUUUUGUCGUGUUUCGGCUCGUACUCCCACAAUUCUCGAAGAUCAGCAAAACGGAUUCCUGCUUCAGGACGAGUUUUCGCCAAGUAGGCGAAACGAUGGUAAGUGAUUUUAUCCCAGCGCAAAGCAUUGUCAUCAGUAGCAGAAAUGCUACAGAAAUUUGCGCCAGCCCAAGGGGAAGUGUAUUCUACAGAACGAUCUUCAGGCGUAUACUUGGCAAUCACCUUAAUACGAGGAGCAAGACCCAAGUCUGAAAGAAUCCAAGCAGUGGUCAAUCCAAUAACGCCAGCGCCAACGAUGACAAUAUCUCUUGGCUUAUUUUCCUUAGUCAUUGUUUAUAUUAAAAACGGGAAGGAGAGAAAUCGAGAGAGCAAUGGUUGAGUAGAAGGAGAAAGGGCAAUUAGACUGCGAAUUUAAAACGCGAAGCAGGGGGAAACGAGUGCGCAAAUAAUUUAUAUCUAAAUAUUAGAAGCAAGUUAGCAGUCUGAACCCUAAUUGGCAAUGUCAUUAACGGAUUAGAGGUAGAGUAAAAAAUUAAAAGCAGUUACAAUGGGAAAAUACAGUGUAACAGGCAAAUCAAGUAUUAGAGGAUUGAAGUUAAACAGUACCAUAUU